UGAGCUUUGAACAUCAUUGAAAGAGGGAAAAUGUACUUUUAGUGUCCUGGAUUCCAUGUCUAUAGACUUUCUUCUCUGACAAACUUUACUGCACUUUAAAACCUCAGCCUCUUCUCAAUCAAGCUUGUUCCGCAAAAAAGAUCCAACAGCAAGUGAUUUGUACUUAAUUUGCUUGCUCGCGUUGAAGUCAUGUCUGCUAUUUCAAGGGAACGCCCAUUUACUUACCACUGUUGCUGUCUUUGCGUUUUACGUAUCCCACUAUCACCUGCAGCUGAGUUCCCUGGGCUUCCACUUUUUGGGCUGUGCAGUCAGCAGCAAACAUGGAUUUAGGAGACCUGAAGCCAAGUCCCGGUGAUCCCUGUAUUUGUCUUUCUAAGGUGUGGA